rnacentral:rRNA from 1 species
UACGGAGGGGGCUAGCGUUGUUCGGAAUUACUGGGCGUAAAGCGCGCUUAGGCGGACCUGCAAGUCGGGGGUGAAAGCCCGAGGCUUAACCUCGGAACUGCCUUCGAUACUGCGGGUCUCGAGUCCGGGAGAGGUGAGUGGAAUUCCUAGUGUAGAGGUGAAAUUCGUAGAUAUUAGGAAGAACACCAGUGGCGAAGGCGGCUCACUGGCCCGGUACUGACGAUGAGGUGCGAAAGCGUGGGGAGCAAACAGG